rnacentral:rRNA from 1 species
UACGGAGGUGGCAAGCGUUGUUCGGAAUUACUGGGCGUAAAGGGCGCGUAGGCGGCAAGGCAAGUCAGGUGUGAAAGCCCCGAGCUUAACUCGGGAAUUGCAUCUGAAACUGCUGCUUGAGUUCUGGAGGGGGUAGUGGAAUUCCCAGUGUAGCGGUGAAAUGCGUAGAUAUUGGGAGGAACACCUGCGGCGAAGGCGGCUACCUGGACAGAAACUGACGCUGAGGCGCGAAAGCUAGGGGAGCGAACGGG